CCUACGGGGCGCAGCAGUGGGGAAUAUUGGACAAUGGGCGAAAGCCUGAUCCAGCCAUGCCGCGUGUGUGAAGAAGGCCUUCGGGUUGUAAAGCACUUUCAGUGGGGAAGAAAGCCUUGGGGCUAAUACCCUCGAGGAAGGACAUCACCCACAGAAGAAGCACCGGCUAACUCCGUGCCAGCAGCCGCGGUAAUACGGAGGGUGCGAGCGUUAAUCGGAAUUACUGGGCGUAAAGCGCGCGUAGGCGGUCUGAUAAGCCGGUUGUGAAAGCCCCGGGCUCAACCUGGGAACGGCAUCCGGAACUGUCAGGCUAGAGUGCAGGAGAGGAAGGUAGAAUUCCCGGUGUAGCGGUGAAAUGCGUAGAGAUCGGGAGGAAUACCAGUGGCGAAGGCGGCCUUCUGGACUGACACUGACGCUGAGGUGCGAAGGCGUGGGUAGCAAACAGGAUUAGAUACCCCGGUAGUC
rnacentral:rRNA from 1 species